UACAGAGGUCCCAAGCGUUGUUCGGAUUCACUGGGCGUAAAGGGUGCGUAGGUGGUUAGGUAAGUCGGAUGUGAAAUCUCGGAGCUCAACUCCGAAAUGGCAUUGGAAACUACCUGGCUUGAGGAUUGGAAGGGGGACUGGAAUACUUGGUGUAGCAGUGAAAUGCGUAGAUAUCUAGUAGAACACCAGUGGCGAAGGCGAGUCCCUGGACAAUUCCUGACACUGAGGCACGAAAGCUAGGGGAGCAAAC
rnacentral:rRNA from 1 species